GGGGAAUAUUGCACAAUGGGCGCAAGCCUGAUGCAGCAGCGCCGCGUGCGGGAUGACGGCCUUCGGGUUGUAAACCGCUUUCAGCAGGGACGAAGCGAAAGUGACGGUACCUGCAGAAGAAGCACCGGCUAACUACGUGCCAGCAGCCGCGGUGAUACGUAGGGUGCGAGCGUUGUCCGGAUUUAUUGGGCGUAAAGAGCUUGUAGGCGGUUUGUCGCGUCGGGAGUGAAAACUCAGGGCUUAACCCUGAGCCUGCUUUCGAUACGGGCAGACUUGAGGAAGGUAGGGGAGAAUGGAAUUCCUGGUGAAGCGGUGGAAUGCGUAGAUAUCAGGAGGAACACCAGUGGCGAAGGCGGUUCUCUGGACCUUUCCUGACGCUGAGAAGCGAAAGCGUGGGGAGCAAAC
rnacentral:rRNA from 1 species